UUUGCUAGAAUCGACAAUGGAUGGGGGAGUUGGUACUGGGGCACGCUAGCAUUUAUACAGCUCCUAAUUGAAUAUCGAAAUAAACCGCCUCGCCCCCUUCCGCCGCCUGCCCUGGCCGGUGGAAGAUUGGGAUAUAUGUAAAGUGCGCCGUGUGUGUGUGUGUUGUGCGCGAAAAGGGCGUAGCCCACCGAGUGCUUUCCGUGCCGCCGGCGAGCGCAAGCAUGGCCGACGGUCGUGUUGCUCCGAGCGCCGUUGCGCGCUCCCUGAUGUGCUGAGCGUCGUGGGGACGCUGGUUUUCACCGCAGGGCGCAGUUUCCAAGGCCUGUGGACUGCGUGCCGCCUGGCGAUCCCGAGCCGUAGGGCACGGCCUUGACCCGCGAGCCGUGUGUCGGACAGCCUUGCCGCGGUCCGACGACCCCAAGGUCUCAUCGCGCGGGUCCUUCUUGGGGAACUCCUGAGCGCCGCGGGUUGUUCUCGCCCGGGCUUGCCAAAGCCGGAGCUUGAGGAACGCCCGUCGCCCACCGUCAGCGAUCCGCCUGCUGCGUUAAAUACCAGCGGGCCUGUGGAUGAUAGCUACGUUCGGUACCCGUGAGUGCACUAGACUUUUAUCCCAGGUUUUGGCCAAGACCCCGCGUCUCGUUCAUCUCGCGAUCGUAGAUUAAGGUUUACUAUAGUGUCACCCCAUAACCGCCGACAGUUUAGAGAAACCGAUUGUAUUCUGAGCAGCGCCCGCCCUAAAGCGGAGUGCAUUGUAGUAGUUAGCGAAUUGUAUUAAAUUGCAUGUCAUAUA